UCUACAUGAUUCUUGUCAGGAAGCUGACCAGAAGGGUAAGAAAAGUACUUAGUCCAGCAUUGCUUGGUCAUUAUUGACUGUCCUGCAGAAGCUUGACUACUAACCUAAGACUCAAGUCAAUUGGAUCUGCUCAUUUAGCAAAUAGAGAAAGCGUUGAACUUUUAAGAAC
rnacentral:lncRNA from 1 species